GCGGAUGUUCCACCAUUGUCGUGCGGUCGUGGAGGAUCCACCAUUUUCUUUUUGUCGCUUGCUUCGGGGUUUGUCGAGUUCUCAGUUCCAAAGAUCGGGACGAUCUUUUUGUUACGAUCUUUCAACAGAGGUAUAUCGCGUGUUCUAUCACGAAGAUCAAAGACGUGACGCACAGGAAAAAAUGAGUUACGGUAGACCUCCGCCACGUAUCGACGGGAUGGUUUCCCUGAAAGUCGACAAUCUCACGUACAGGACGACGCCGGAGGAUCUGAGACGCGUGUUCGAGCGGUGCGGCGAAGUGGGCGACAUUUACAUCCCUAGAGAUCGCUUUACGCGUGAAAGCCGUGGUUUCGCGUUUGUUAGAUUUUAUGACAAGCGCGACGCGGAAGAUGCAUUAGAUGCCAUGGAUGGAAGACUGUUGGACGGCAGGGAACUCCGAGUUCAAAUGGCACGGUAUGGACGUCCAACGUCUCCGCAUCGUAGUCGUGGAAGUCGUCGUCGUGGAAGAUCACGAAGCAGAAGCAGAGACCGCAGGCGUUCGCGAUCCCGAUCCCGCAGUAGGUCACGUAGCCGUGACAGAGAUCGCAGGCGCUCUUACAGUCGCAGUCGUAGUCGCUCACGUUCGGACAGCAAGAGCUCACGCGGUAAAUCACGCUCGCGCAGCAAGUCUCCAGACAGACAAAAAGACAGUCGUUCCAAAUCCAGAGACUGAGCUGAUUGAAGAGUGUGCGAGAGGAUAACAAUGAGUGACCAACGCGUAUCCAACGAGUGCCGAAUAAUCUAUGUUGAGAUUGAGAAAGAAAAAGGCGGUGGAAAGGAGUGGCGUGGCGUGGGUGUAGCUGAUGAUGGGGUAGCUGAGAGUAAGCAGUAAGCCGAGUAGCAGGGGGCUGUAAGCAGUUUGCAGUAGCGAGAGAGAGCGGUGUUGGUGGUGCGGUGCGAUGCAAUGCGGUGCAAUGCGGCGCGGUGCGACGCGAUGCAUUCCGUUCCGGUACGAUCGUCUGGUGAUCCGGUGGUUCGUUGAAAGCGGGUUUACAAAUGAUUAGGGAUGAAAAAGAAAGAAAGAGGGAGAGACAGAGAAAGAAAGAAAGAGGCAAGUAGAGAGUGAUAUCGAGCGAGUGAGAGAGGGGGGAGGGGAGAAAGAGAGGGAGGGGGGAUAGAUACUAGAAUUCAUCUGCAAGUUAUAAGAGUCAUCGCGAGGCCACUGCAAACUUCCUCGGGUGACUUCAUUGGGGAUGCACUGUGUCCGGGUGCUAGCAUCGCAUGGCCUGGACUGUUAUUAGGUCUCUCGAACAAACAGGCGACUGAUUCAUAGAACGUAUUCAUUGCUCGAUCAUCGAUAAAUGGAGUCACAUGUUUACGGUAAACUAUAAUAGAUUAUAACGCAUCAUUGUGUCCGAAGUAUGGCUUUAAAAUGAGUAUAAUUAAGAAAACAUGUUUUUAUUCUAGCUUGAAUAAUUUGAAUGAAAAAAAAACUGCUAAUUUGCAGAUAAUUAUUAUUGAUGAGAUUAUUGAGUAUUCACGCAGUGUUGCGUGAAAUGUUGGAUAUAUCAAACAGACUUUAGAGGAUUUUAACAUCAAUUUUUUUUAAAGAAAUUAUUAUUUAUUGUAAUGAAAAAAGUCAUUUAUCACAACUUUUUAAAUUUUUUCAAACAUACAUUUUUAUAAUUAAAUUUUAAAUUUAAAUUUUUCGCAAUAUAAUUCUUUACAGUAUUUAGAGAAAGGGGAUAAGAUUUUUGUUAGCACAUUAUUAUUAAAUUAAUUAUCAAUUUUAAUCUUGUAAGGCCCAAGUUUGUUAUAAAAGUUAUAUAAUUUUUCUGCUUAAAUUAUCUAUUUUAUAUUUCUGAUUAAAAGUCACAUCGGUUAUAUAAUGCAUAAAAACGAGAAAAAUACAGAACAUUUUUGAGUGAU
rnacentral:misc_RNA from 1 species